rnacentral:rRNA from 1 species
UACGGGGGGAGCAAGCGUUGUUCGGAUUUACUGGGCGUAAAGGGCGCGUAGGCGGCCACCGCAAGUCGACUGUGAAAUCUCCGGGCUUAACCCGGAAAGGUCAGCCGAUACUGCGGGGCUAGAGUGCAGAAGGGGCAACUGGAAUUCUCGGUGUAGCGGUGAAAUGCGUAGAUAUCGAGAGGAACACCUGCGGCGAAGGCGGGUUGCUGGGCUGACACUGACGCUGAUGCGCGAAAGCUAGGGAGCGAACGGG